CUGCCACCUCUAGUGGGAUGUCACCACCAGACAUGCAUUCCCCUCCCCUCCCUUGUCAUCAUUCUGUUUUGUCUCCAGACAAAGAAGUCUGUGCAGUGUAAUAUUUUGUAUAAAGCUAGAGGUAUCUAUAAUCCAAGUAGAGAGCGUUUUACACUCCACAGUCAUAAGACUGACUUUCCUUCCAUGCCCAUGAAAAUUAACGAUUGUAGACCUGAUCCUCCUUACCAAUUUGUGAUGUAUUUGGUUGUGUAUUUUAAUUUACCACAUGUAGUUAGGGCAAAGAGUCAUACUGGACCAAUGUGAACAAGAUCCAAAGAAUUUGAAGAUGGAGUCAAAAUCUGAAGGAGAACUCCAGACAGAAGGUGUGAGGAGAGGAGGCAAAUCAGAUUGGCAGAGUGGGAGGAGAGAGCCAAAAAGUCAUGCAGACAAGACCAUUGAGAAUUUUAAAAUUGACUGGCAAAAAGUGUUCUACAGUAUCUUUGCCUAUCUCAUAGCUGAAUCUUGAACAAAAGACAGUUUAUAUAAAGAUUAUUCACACUUCUGUGUUUGGUGUAUGAAUUCAGCAAAGAACCAAAAUCAGAGCAUCUUUCCAAGUGUCUGCUCACUUUAGUGACGGUUAAGAACUUGGUUAUCUGCUAGGUUCUGUGGACAUUCUAGCAGCAUGGAAAAUCACUCAGCAGCACACAGAAUUUAGAGAUGUUUUUUGAUGACAAUUCCAAAACAUCAAGGAAAAAGGAUUUUAAAAUAUUAUGCAUUUUGCAAAUUUCUACCUCCUUAGAUCUUCACACAAUGCAUUCUAAGUUUCAGCAAUACAGACAAUCAGCUCCCUUACAUUUGUAAACUUCAUCCUUGAGAGAAUUUGGUUUCCAACCUCCUCGCAAUGUCCCUUUCUUCCAAUUAUGGAGCUGAGAUUGAGAGAUUCAUCAGGAAGAGAUGAGGCAUAUCCAAUCACUCCACACCAAGGAAACCUACGCCUGUACUUGUGCCAGCAUCUCAUUCUGGACUCCAUCCUUCCCAUGCUCCAAUAUGUUGUAUUGUUCUAUUUCACUAUAAUAGACAUACAGUACACAUUCCCAAAACUAGCUCCACUAUCACUGCAGUUUGAGGGAAGUAAAGAUUCUCUCUGUGAUGGGUUCAGUAAUAGAAGCCACUUUUUUUUUUAAAAACACAAAGGUUUAAAACACUCGCAACCUUGAAAGCAUUGGCAAAAUGUUGUAGCUUUAGCUUGAAUGGAGAGGGAAGGAUGUUUUUGAAACCUAUUGUAACUGUUUUAAAAAUCAAUACAUUUUUGGUUAACAUUGUGUUAAUUAAAGGUGAAACAUUACUAUUGGCAAAUAGCACAUCUUUCAUUUCUGGUACUGAGUGUCAGCAGCAAGCAUCUUCAUCCCAUCUGCAGACUUAAUAUCACUAUGUAAGCAACACACUGAAACAAAUUAUCUAGCCAUGGUCACAUUUGUGGAAUUCUGUUUUGUGCAAACUUGCUGCUGCAUUUUGUUUCAACAUAAAUGAGUUACAGUCAGUGAAGUAUGCAAAUUCAGCCAAACUGCAUCCGUCCCAGACACCAAACAAAAGGUAAUCUAGCGAGUACAUUCAAGACAAAAUGAAUCCAAACUAUUUUGAAAAAAAAUGGAGUAAUUUGAUCUAUGUACCCUACAUGAAAUAGUAGUCUUUGAUUGUUUGAUAAUUCAGAAUAAAAUUAUUGCUUCCUGGAAA